rnacentral:rRNA from 1 species
AUUGAACGCUGGCGGCAGGCCUAACACAUGCAAGUCGAGCGGAUGAAGGGAGCUUGCUCCUGGAUUCAGCGGCGGACGGGUGAGUAAUGCCUAGGAAUCUGCCUGGUAGUGGGGGAUAACGUCCGGAAACGGGCGCUAAUACCGCAUACGUCCUGAGGGAGAAAGUGGGGGAUCUUCGGACCUCACGCUAUCAGAUGAGCCUAGGUCGGAUUAGCUAGUUGGUGGGGUAAAGGCCUACCAAGGCGACGAUCCGUAACUGGUCUGAGAGGAUGAUCAGUCACACUGGAACUGAGACACGGUCCAGACUCCUACGGGAGGCAGCAGUGGGGAAUAUUGGACAAUGGGCGAAAGCCUGAUCCAGCCAUGCCGCGUGUGUGAAGAAGGUCUUCGGACUGUAAAGCACUUUAAGUUGGGAGGAGGGGCAGUAAGUUAAUACCUUGCUGUUUUGACGUUACCAACAGAAUAAGCACCGGCUAACUUCGUG